GGGGAAGUAACUCAAGUGGUAAAGCGCUCGCUUUGCAUGCAAGAGGUACUGGGUUCGAUACCCCGCAUCUCCA
rfam:Nelumbo nucifera unplaced genomic scaffold scaffold00043, whole genome shotgun sequence